UAUAAGCUUUGCAGGCAUCGUCCCACCUGGCGAAGCGGGAAGCCGGUGAGAAUCCGGCGCGGUCGCGCCACUGUAUCCAGCAUGUAAGCCCUGUUGAAUCCGAGCUGGGAGUCAAACCUCGCUUCGCCAUCGUUCAAU
rnacentral:ncRNA from 2 species